ncrna:unclassified sequences L31-Actinobacteria ribosomal protein leader
ACGGUACCGGUUCACGCCCGCCGGAUCUUCCGGCGCGGCGACCCGGCGACC